GCCGAGUUAGCCAAGUUGGUCAAGGCACGUGUCUGAAGAACACGCUAUCUCAGUUCGAUUCUGAGACUCGGCA
rnacentral:tRNA from 1 species